AGUGAACGCUGGCGGUAGGCCUAACACAUGCAAGUCGAACGGCAGCACAGUAAGAGCUUGCUCUUACGGGUAGCGAGUGGCGGACGGGUGAGGAAUACAUCGGAAUCUACUUUUUCGUGGGGGAUAACGUAGGGAAACUUACGCUAAUACCGCAUACGACCUACGGGUGAAAGCAGGGGAUCUUCGGACCUUGCGCGAUUGAAUGAGCCGAUGUCGGAUUAGCUAGUUGGCGGGGUAAAGGCCCACCAAGGCGACGAUCCGUAGCUGGUCUGAGAGGAUGAUCAGCCACACUGGAACUGAGACACGGUCCAGACUCCUACGGGAGGCAGCAGUGGGGAAUAUUGGACAAUGGGCGAAAGCCUGAUCCAGCCAUACCGCGUGGGUGAAGAAGGCCUUCGGGUUGUAAAGCCCUUUUGUUGGGAAAGAAAAGCAGCAGGUUAAUACCCCGCUGUUCUGACGGUACCCAAAGAAUAAGCACCGGCUAACUUCGUG
rnacentral:rRNA from 1 species